rnacentral:rRNA from 1 species
UACGUAGGGUGCGAGCGUUGUCCGGAAUUACUGGGCGUAAAGAGCUCGUAGGUGGUUUGUCGCGUUGUUCGUGAAAACUCACAACUCAAUUGUGGGCGUGCGGGCGAUACGGGCAGACUGGAGUACUGCAGGGGAGACUGGAAUUCCUGGUGUAGCGGUGAAAUGCGCAGAUAUCAGGAGGAACACCGGUGGCGAAGGCGGCAUCCUGGACCAAUUCUGACGCUGAGUGAGCGAAAGCCAGGGGAGCAAACGGG